AAGGAGGCCGGGGGAGUGCUGAGUUUUCACCAGCUGUUUCCCGCCUUGAAACAGACAUCUGAUCAGCUGCAAACACACACACACACACACACACACACACACACACAUACACACGCCCGGGGAGGCAGGCCGGAGAGACCUCCCUCCCGCCCCUCCCGCCCGCCUCCCUCCCCUCGCCGCCGCCGCCGCCGCCGCCGCCGCCAGCAUCUGGGACCGGCCGAUUCUGCACCUCCGUCCGGCGCUGCCCUUUGAUUCGGAUUUCCAUCUUGCAUUCUCCGGCUGAUCGCGGGACCUGGCUCGUGCAGAGGAGGGGGGCCGAUCGCUAUGGAGUAUUUCAUGGUGCCCACUCAGAAGGUGCCCUCUUUGCAACAUUUCAGGAAAACAGAGAAAGAAGUGAUAGGAGGGCUCUGUAGCCUUGCCAACAUUCCACUAACCCCCGAGACUCAGCGGGACCAGGAGCGGCGGAUUCGGCGGGAGAUCGCCAACAGCAACGAGCGGAGACGCAUGCAGAGCAUCAACGCGGGAUUCCAGUCCCUCAAGACCCUCAUCCCCCACACAGACGGAGAGAAGCUCAGCAAGGCAGCCAUUCUCCAGCAGACAGCCGAGUACAUCUUCUCCCUGGAGCAGGAGAAGACCAGGCUCUUGCAGCAGAACACACAGCUCAAGCGCUUCAUCCAGGUGCGCCCUGUCCUUCAUGGCUCCCUCUCCCUGGCAUGGGCAUGCCUUGGACCCAGCCAUGGGCCUGGGACUCAGGUGUGGCUGCAGGCCGCUUCUUGCCCACUGACAAGUACUUCCAGGCACUUUUUUUUUCUGCCCCGGCCUCAGUUUCCCCAUCGGUCAAGUGCGGUGGAGUGGGCUCUGGAAGGAGCCAGGUGACUGUUAUGUAAAGCAGCCCAUUCUCCUGGCAUUUGGCUGGUUUGUUGGACUUGCAGAAGGGGCUCCCUAAUGAAGAUUCACCUGUGUUGGGCAGCUUUGGGGGGCUGCGAUGGAACCCCAAUCUCCGUGGUGGUACCGAGGUGUCAGGCACACUGACCGACUCCUUGGGGUCCCCAGGAGCUGAGCGGCUCGUCCCCCAAGCGACGGCGGGCAGAGGACAAGGACGAAGGCAUAGGCUCCCCGGACAUCUGGGAGGACGAGAAGGCGGAGGACCUGCGGCGGGAGAUGAUUGAGCUGCGGCAGCAGCUGGACAAGGAGCGCUCGGUGCGCAUGAUGCUGGAGGAGCAGGUGCGCUCGCUGGAGGCCCACAUGUACCCGGAAAAGCUCAAGGUGAUUGCACAGCAGGUGCAGCUGCAGCAGCAGCAGGAACAGGUGAGGCUGCUGCA
rnacentral:sRNA from 1 species